UUGAAGAUGUGAAAUAUGCAUUAGAAACUAUUUUGCGCUUGAUAUUCGCAAUAUUAAUGAGAAACUUGAGAUUUGUUUCUACCGGGUGGACAAUGUCGCAGUCGUUCUCGAAAGUGUUUUGAUAAUGUUCAUUUUAAAAGAGUGUAUAUCUCAUGGCCAUUUGCCUAGAGCUUUAUAAGUCGUACAUCGUAGAACCAUUGCCAUACAAUAAUUAGUUACCCAAACACAAGAAAAAAAAAAAUUGGUUGCUGAAAUCUUCAUCUGGGUGUUCUGCAUGCACACUCUCAAAUUUGUGUGGAAAGAGACAUAUCAGGUAGAGUGAGUGAUAGGUCCCAAAGUGCUUGUAAACAAAAUUCAUGAAAACAAGUAUAAAAAAA